UACGUAGGGUGCGAGCGUUAAUCGGAAUUACUGGGCGUAAAGCGUGCGCAGGCGGUUGUGCAAGACAGAUGUGAAAUCCCGGGCUCAACCUGGGAACUGCAUUGUGACUGCACGGCUGGAGUGCGGCAGAGGGGAUGGAAUUCCGCGUGUAGCAGUGAAAUGCGUAGAUAUGCGGAGGAACACCGAUGGCGAAGGCAAUCCCUGGGCCUGCACUGACGCUCAUGCACGAAAGCGUGGGAGCAAACAGG
rnacentral:rRNA from 1 species